UACGAAGGGGGCUAGCGUUGCUCGGAAUCACUGGGCGUAAAGCGCACGUAGGCGGAUUGUUAAGUCAGGGGUGAAAUCCUGGAGCUCAACUCCAGAACUGCCUUUGAUACUGGAGAGCUUGAGUCCGGGAGAGGUGAGUGGAACUCCGAGUGUAGAGGUGAAAUUCGUAGAUAUUCGCAAGAACACCAGUGGCGAAGGCGGCUCACUGGCCCGAUACUGACGCUGAUGCACGAAAGCGUGGGGAGCAAACAGG
rnacentral:rRNA from 1 species